rnacentral:rRNA from 1 species
AUGCUUAACUGCAAGCCUGCUUCCACGCCUGUCGAUACGAAGGCUAAGGUGUCCGGCGUCGAGGGCUCUCCGGCGUCCGAUGCUCCCUUCUACCGCUCCAUCGUCGGUGCGCUUCAGUACCUCACACUGACACGUCCGGACAUUCAGUAUGUUGUCCAGCAGGUGUGCCUUCACAUGCAUGCUCCUCGUGACACCCAUUGGGCUCUCGUCAAACGUAUACUUCGGUACAUACGUGGCACCACAGCCAUGGGUCUCACCCUUACAGCCUCGCCAAACACCAGCCUUGUCGCCUACUCCGACGCCGACUGGGUUGGGUGUCCCGACACUCGACGCUCCACUUCCGACUACUGCGUCUACCUCGGACCCUCUCUGAUUUCGUGGUCGUCUAAACGACAACGCACGGUCUCACGAUCGAGCGCCGAGGCCGAGUAUCGGGCCGUGGCUAACGCCGUCGCGGAGUGUUCCUGGCUACGACAGCUACUCCAGGAGUUGCUAUGUGAGGUCACCAAGGCGACGCUCGUCUACUGUGAUAACGUCUCCGCGGUGUACCUCGCUGCCAACCCUGUCCAUCACCGACGGACGAAGCACAUUGAGCUCGACAUCCACUUCGUUCGGGAGCACGUCGCACUUGGUCGUGUUCGUGUUCUCCAUGUGCCCACCGAUCAGCAGUUCGCCGAUGUGAUGACGAAGGGACUACCCACCUCGACUUUCGAGGGCUUUCGGUCCAGUCUUUGCAUCACCGGCGACGCUUCGACUGGGGGGGUGUUGAACAUGUGUACAUGUACGUAG